UCCUAUUCCUGAGACCAAAGAAUCAGAUUCCAGCUUUCCAGGGAAAUUUUUUGGAAAGCUGGAAUUUGAUUCUUUGGU
rnacentral:miRNA from 1 species